AGUUCUCAACUUGCUCCUUGGCUGUUCUCCUGACACUUAAGUCAGAGCAUUCUGUAGCUGUAUUUUACAGAACUGUAAUUGCACAGAUUGUUCCUCUUACAAGAGAAAUAUCCAGAGCUCUAAGAAAACAACUGAUGAAAACGACAUGCGUGACAUUUGGUGCUGAAGACCCAGGUCAGAGAGACUCCUUUGGGGGACCAGUCCGCUGUCCUUGCCCUCACUCUGUGAGGAGACCCACCUACGACCUCGGGUCCUCAGACCAACCAGCUCAAGGAACAUCUCACCAAUUUCAAAUCGGGACCCCACUGGAAAAUGGACUGUCCAACUCACCCGGCAGCCACUCCCAGAGCCCCUGGAACUCUGGCCCAAGGCUCUCUGACUGACUCCUUCCCAGAUCUUCUCGGCUCAGCAGCUGAAGACUGACACUGCUUGAUUGCCUGGGAAGCCUAUAGGACCAUCACAGACACUUUGGAUAACUCUUACAGUGAAGGUGUCUGGAGUUUCCCCUAUGGACGCUCUCUCCUGCCACCAUGUAAGUCUUGC
rnacentral:lncRNA from 1 species